UCGGGAAUAUUGCGGCAAUGGAGGAAACUCUGACGCAGUGACGCCGCGUAUAGGAAGAAGGUUUUCGGAUUGUAAACUAUUGUCGUUAGGGAAGAUAAAAGACAGUACCUAAGGAGGAAGCCCCGGCUAACUAUGUGCCAGCAGCCGCGGUAAUACAUAGGGGGCAAGCGUUAUCCGGAAUUAUUGGGUGUAAAGGGUGCGUAGACGGGAAAACAAGUUAGUUGUGAAAUCCCUCGGCUUAACUGAGGAACUGCAACUAAACUAUUUUCUUGAGUGCGGGAGAGGAAAGUGGAAUUCCUAGUGUAGCGGUGAAAUGCGUAGAUAUUAGGAGGAACACCAGUGGCGAAGGCGACUUUCUGGACCGUAACUGACGUUGAGGCACGAAAGUGUGGGGAGCAAACAGGAUUAGAUACCCUGGUAGU
rnacentral:rRNA from 1 species